rnacentral:lncRNA from 1 species
GUUGGUGGGGGUGGAGAGACAGAACUUGUCCAGGUAACCACUGAAGAAAGGUUUCUUCCAUUUCUCUUUCUAGCCAGAGACGACUAUCCAUAACGACAUCAUAAAGAGAUAGAUGACAAGGGAUGCAAUCAGCGGCAGGUGGGACGCAAGAGACAAAACUGCUGCCCACUAAGACGAUGUAUGGUGGAAUCAGAAGAAGCCUGGUAAACAGUGGAGGCUUCUGUCAUUACAGCAGUGACAAGUCCCUUCCUCCCUCCAUGGUGCCAAUGGAGGUCCCAAUAGGAGACAGAACGUCCAGGCACCAUAUGCCAUGCAAGCAAUAAUUAAAAGGAAGCAAACGUGGGCAUUUUAACAGCACACAGAGCAAGCACAAGGAAAGGCAGGAAAGGACCAAAUGCAGAGAAUGACAUAAUAUAAUCAUAAGAGUCAAGCCACCAACGAGGAAUGGCCACCUUAAAAGCGUGUGUAGCAACUACAGAUCUGAAAAAUAAGUCACAAAAUUGAUGUUGAACACUUCAACAAUCCUCACUCAACAACUGAUAGACUAACGAGACGAAGAAAGAACAGACACAGAGGAC